rnacentral:rRNA from 1 species
UACGUAGGGACCAAGCGUUGUUCGGAUUUACUGGGCGUAGAGGGCGCGUAGGCGGCAAUUCAAGUCAGCUGUGAAAUCUCCGGGCUUAACUCGGAACGGUCAGCUGAUACUGCUUUGCUAGAGUGCAGAAGGGGCAAUCGGAAUUCUUGGUGUAGCGGUGAAAUGCGUAGAUAUCAAGAGGAACACCUGAGGUGAAGACGGGUUGCUGGGCUGACACUGACGCUGAGUGCGCGAAAGCUAGGGUAGCAAACGGG